CACCCUUGAGAAUGUACUUUGUAAGAUCCACCCGCUGCCCACAAAAAAAUUGCUCCUAACUCCACUGCCUAUCCCAAACCUAUAAGAACUAAUGAUAAUCCCACCACCCUUUGCUGACACUCUUUUUGGACUCCGGCUGCCUGCACCCAGGUGAUUAAAAAGCUUUAUUGCUCACACAAAGCCUGUUUGGUCGUCUCUUCACACGGACACACAUGACAUUUGGUGCCGAAGAGCUGGGACAGGAGGACUCCUUCAGGAGACCAGUUCCCUUGUCCUCGCCCUCACUCCAUGAGGAGAUCCACCUAUGACCUCGGGUCCUCAGACCAACCAGCCCAAGGAACAUCUCACCAAUUUCAAAUCAGCCAAAAUCCACAGUGAUCCACAUAAUACUCAGGAAUCACCCAGAAGGGAUUUCUAUCUGAAAGGAGAAAGAAGCUCUGGGGCAUGAAUAUACGUUGUCUUGUAAAAAAAUAAAUCAGUAAUUCAUGUGUGUAUAUUUUAUACUCAAUGGGAAAAAA
rnacentral:lncRNA from 10 species